UACGAGGGGGGCGAGCGUUGUUCGGAAUUAUUGGGCGUAAAGGGUGCGUAGGCGGUUUGGUAAGUCUUAUGUGAAAUCUAUGGGCUCAACUCAUAGACUGCAUGAGAAACUGCCGGGCUUGAGUACGGGAGAGGUGAGUGGAACUGCGAGUGUAGAGGUGAAAUUCGUAGAUAUUCGCAAGAACACCAGUGGCGAAGGCGGCUCACCUGGCCCGUUACUGACGCUGAGGCACGAAAGCGUGGGGAGCAACAGGG
rnacentral:rRNA from 1 species